rnacentral:rRNA from 1 species
GACGAACGCUGGCGGCGUGCCUAAUACAUGCAAGUCGAACGAAGCUGUUUUAACUGGUGCUUGCACCGACUUAAACAACUGAGUGGCGAACGGGUGAGUAACACGUGGGUAACCUGCCCCAAAGCGGGGGAUAACAUUUGGAAACAGAUGCUAAUACCGCAUAACCACAGAAGCCACAUGGUUUCUGUGUCAAAGAUGGUUUCGGCUAUCACUUUGGGAUGGACCCGCGGCGUAUUAGCUAAUUGGUAAGGUAAUGGCUUACCAAGGCAAUGAUAAGUAGCCGGACUGAGAAGUUGAUCGGCCACAAUGCGACUGAGACACGGCCCAUACUCCGACGGGAGGCAGCAGUAGGGAAUCUUCCACAAUGGGCGCAAGCCUGAUGGAGCAACACCGCGUGAGUGAAGAAGGGUUUCGGCUCGUAAAACUCUGUUGUUAAAGAAGAACGUAUCUAAGAGUAACUGCUUAGGUAGUGACGGUAUUUAACCAGAAAGCCACGGCUAACUACGUGCCAGCAGCCGCCGCAG